GACGAUGCCCCUGCUUACAUUGAACUUGACCAAAAAUGGUAGGACCCCUUUUCCUCACUUCCAAUACCCAACUGAUCUUGCCCCAUGUGACUCUUUUGUUUCCUAGAAUCAAAAUAUGUGAAAGGAAAAUAUUUUGCUGAUGUUGCGGAAGUGAAGAUAAAACGAGAGGUACUGUCAAGCAUCACAGAAGAUGAAUUUAAACAGUGUUUUGAAAACCUGAAUAAAAGAUAAGUGUAUUAGUGCAAUUGGAGAGUACUUUGAAGGAUAUUGAAGGUUUGUUCUUGAAAUUUGAAGGUUUGUUCUUGAAAUUUGAAGGUUUGUUCUUGAAAUUUGAAGGUUUGUUCUUGAAAUUUGAAGGUUUGUUCUUGAAAUUUGAAGGUUUGUUCUUGAAAUUUGAAGGUUUGUUCUUGAAAUUUGAAGGUUUGUUCUUGAAAUUUGAAGGUUUGUUCUUGAAAUUUGAAGGUUUGUUCUUGAAAUUUGAAGGUUUGUUCUUGAAAUUUGAAGGUUUGUUCUUGAAAUUUGAAGGUUUGUUCUUGAAAUUUGAAGGUUUGUUCUUGAAAUUUGAAGGUUUGUUCUUGAAAUUUGAAGGUUUGUUCUUGAAAUUUGAAGGUUUGUUCUUGAAAUUUGAAGGUUUGUUCUUGAAAUUUGAAGGUUUGUUCUUGAAAUUUGAAUAAAUAAGUUAAAAAAAGUACAGUUCCCUCUGCUUAACUCUUGUGGUGCUGUUUACAUGCCUGUGAUGAAAUGCACAGUUCUUAUUUGGGUUUUCUCCAAUUUGUCUGUUAAUUGUACCAAGCAAGAGUCCAAAAGUGAGGGCAGUUGUGGAAAAUUCAUCAGUCUUCUGUACACCACCACCAUUCAUUGAUAAAGCACACUUCUCGGAUUCUUCCUGGUACCUGCCUUUCGCACAACUAGUGUUAUUUCCACCACAAAGCACUCUGGACAAACCUCACUAGCAUUGGGUCUCAAAUCAGUAGGUAAACGCACUUUCCUGUUAACCUUCUAGUAACCACUUGCUCCACUACCCAAUAAUAGAAGAAAGUCCCAAGUCAGAUUUAGAAAACGAACACACACACACACACACACACACACACACACACACACACACACACACACAC